AAAGUAUUACCUAUGUAUAUUAAUGUAACAACCAGAUGUUAAAAGGCUUAAGAAGGGCUAUCAUGAAAUUAAUGACAAAAUUUGGAAGCUAAGAAGGUUUUAUGUCCAAAGUCAACUUUAAUUCAAAUCUUGACUAAAAAUGCAAAUUUGGGAUUCAAAAUUGAAGAAAUGCGACAAAUAUGUGAAGCUGAGUCUUGGAAGUAUUUAGAACUUAAGGGAAGCAAAUUGGAGACCAAAUUUCAGUCAGAAGCAUCAAGGAAAAUGCAGAGAUUAAAUGGGUGAAUUGGAGUUACUGUUGCAAAUCUGAAAUUUUUCAGUCAGUCAUUCAACUUCAAAAAUCAUUUCUGAAAGAUUUUUCAUAUAAACUGUGUGAGGUCUUCGACCACAGUUGAACAUGGGCCAUUAGAGUGUAAUCUGGAGGAGUUGUGGUUCAGGGAAGUCAAAAGUUUCAAAUUUUAAACAAGACUCAAAGUUUGCAAGUUGGACUGUUUUCAGCUCAGUUGCUGAAAAUGAGCUAAGUCUGAAAACAGUAAGGUGAGGCCUACUUUGGAUCCAAUUUUUGAUAAUUUCUACAUAUAGACCUUGGACAAGAACAUGCACAAUGAGAUAUAUAUAACUUGAGGUUAACUCAUUUCAGUAACUUUUCGACAAGGAAGACUUGGUUCAAGUAUUUUAAGUGGGGCUCAAAGUAUGAAGGUUGUGCUGUCAACCUCACUGAUGAAACUGAAUGGCAAGGGCCAUUCAAUUUGAAGAACAGUGAGCUUUAGCAAAUUUGUGGGCUUGAAUUUUUGGAAGAUUUGGUAUAUAAGAGUUGGACUCUAAGUUGCAAAAUGGAAUCCUUGAUAAGUGGUUUAUCAUUGGCAGUAGCUGUUGGACAAGGGGUAGUUGAUUUAAAUAUUUUAAUUGGAAACCAAAGUUGAGAAGUGCACUGUCAAGUUUACUGAUGAAACUGAAUUGCAAAAGCCAUUCAAUUCGACCCACAAUGAGAAAUGGCAGAUUUUGGUUUGAAUUUCUGGAAGAAAUUGUAUCUACAAGUUGGACCUUAACAUGCAAAAUGGAACCUUGGUUGUAUGAUUAACAAGCUCCAGAAGUUAUUAGGCAAGUUUAACUGAGGUUUAAAUGAUUGAAUUCGAAUUCAAACAUGGGGCCAUGGUCUGUUUCGCUACUCUGACGAAACUGAAUCGAGUUAGGCGCAAUUCAGUUAAG
rnacentral:lncRNA from 1 species